GUGGUGUUUGUAUUUGUUUUACAGUGAAUAACAUCAGCUGUAUGUGAAGACUGAGAUCUCGAUGGUGAUGUUGAUUGGGUGGAGCAGGGCGCAAUCCAUCUUUUUGAUCUGCUAAUAACUGGAAUCCAUCAUUGCUCACCGCUCUCCUCGUCCUCUCUCCCGAGUCCACAGGUUUUUAGGAGACCGACCCAGGAAUGUAGGACAGCGGGAAGCGCUCUGUUAUCUGUCAGCAGAGGUUUGGAGCGAUCAUACAGCACACAUCUCUACACGCGUGUGAGAAUCAUGUGUCAGCUGAGCUUCUGUUAUGGCCAAUAAAUGACUUUAUGAUU